UACGUAGGGGCUAGAGUUAUCCGGAAUUACUGGGCGUAAAGGGUGCGUAGGUGGUUUCUUAAGUCAGAGGUGAAAGGCUACGGCUCAACCGUAGUAAGCCUUUGAAACUGGGAAACUUGAGUGCAGGAGAGGAGAGUGGAAUUCCUAGUGUAGCGGUGAGAUGCGUAGAUAUUAGGAGGAACACCAGUUGCGAAGGCGGCUCUCUGGACUGUAACUGACACUGAGUCACGAAAGCGUGGGGAGCAAACAGGAUUAGAUACCCUGGUAGUCCCUGA
rnacentral:rRNA from 1 species